CUGAUCGACAGGUCCGCCUUCUCCCGCCCCGAAUCCACUUCCGAGGCCAUCUCCCGCGUCCGCAAGAACCUGUCCUACUUCCGCGUCAACUACAUGGCCGUGAUCGCCGUUGUGCUCGCCGUCUCCCUCCUCACCAAUCCAGUGUCCCUCGUUAUCCUCCUCGGGCUCCUUGCCGGCUGGUGUUUUCUCUACCUCUUCCGCCCCGCCGACACGCCCCUCGUCAUCCUUGGCCGCCAGUUCUCCGACAGGGAGACCCUCGGUGGCCUCGUUUGCCUCACUGUCUUCGCGGUUUUCCUCACCUCUGUUGUUUCUGUUAUCAUCUCCGCCCUCCUGGCUGGAGCGGCAAUCGUGUGCGCGCAUGGUGCGUUCCGGGUGCCGGAGGACCUCUUUCUCGAUGACCAAGAGCCGGCGGGGCCUGCGACUGGUUUCUUGUCGUUCCUCGGUGGAGCAGCGGCCUCCGCUGCUGCCGCUGCCGGGACGCCUGCGGCCGCGCGCGUCUA
rnacentral:lncRNA from 1 species